UACGUAGGGUGCAAGCGUUAAUCGGAAUUACUGGGCGUAAAGCGUGCGCAGGCGGUUAUAUAAGACAGAUGUGAAAUCCCCGGGCUCAACCUGGGAACUGCAUUUGUGACUGUAGAGCUGGAGUACGGCAGAGGGGGAUGGAAUUCCGCGUGUAGCAGUGAAAUGCGUAGAUAUGCGGAGGAACACCGAUGGCGAAGGCAAUCCCCUGGGCCUGUACUGACGCUCAUGCACGAAAGCGUGGGGAGCAAACAGG
rnacentral:rRNA from 1 species